rnacentral:rRNA from 1 species
CACCUCUAGUAUUUCCAGUAUUAGAGGCACUACCUGCCCAGUGACAUCUGUUUAAACGGCCGCGGUAUCCUAACCGUGCAAAGGUAGCAUAAUCACUUGUUCCCUAAAUAGGGACUUGUAUGAAUGGCCACACGAGGGUUUUACUGUCUCUUACUUCCAAUCAGUGAAAUUGACCUUCCCGUGAAGAGACGGGAAUGACUAAAUAAGACGAGAAGACCCUAUGGAGCUUUAAUUAACUGAUUCACAAAAAACAACACACAAACCUAACCUUCAGGGACAACAAAACUUUUGAUUGAAUCAGCAAUUUCGGUUGGGGUGACCUCGGAGAACAAAACAACCUCCGAGUGAUUUAAAUCCAGACUAACCAGUCAAAAUAUAUAAUCACUUAUUGAUCCAAACCAUUGAUCAACGGAACAAGUUACCCUAGGGAUAACAGCGCAAUCCUAUUCCAGAGUCCAUAUCGACAAUUAGGGUUUACGACCUCGAUGUUGGAUCAAGACAUCCUAAUGGUGCAACCGCUAUUAAGGGUUCGUUUGUUCAACGAUUAAAGUCUU